rnacentral:snRNA from 1 species
AUACCUUUCUCGGCCUUUUGGCUAAGAUCAAGUGUAGUAUCUGUUCUUAUCAGUUUAAUAUCUGAUAUGUGAGUCAUCGACUCACACGAUAUUAACUCUAUUUUUUUCGGGGGAAGGUUCACCAUGGUAGCUUGCUAUUGGGACCUUCAAGAGCCGCCUUGGUGUUGCACUACUGCCUUUUCGCCUGGCUCACCCCAC